rnacentral:lncRNA from 1 species
AAUAAUACAUCAACACCCCCACAACACCACAAACCACUGAUCUUUCCCUUCUCCUCUCUCUCACUAAUCUCUCUUUCUGAUGUCUCUCACUAUUGCCCCAUCGAAAUUAAUCACUGGGUAGCAUGCUCCAUCUUCCGUCACCACUACCGCCGCGACGUUGUUGAUACUUGUCUUUUUUUUUCACUGCUGGCUCACCAAAGAUGAUGACUGGUGAGUUACAGUCAAGCUCCACCACCAACGCUACGUUGUUGGAGUUGGUGUCUAGCGAGCUUUGACUGAGUUCCCCCAUCACUGUCGUACUAUUGAUGGCCAGAUCUGGUCGAAACUUUAUAUAUCCGUCGUCGUUCCACUAUACACUGUUGAAGCAACACUGGUACCACUAAUGUUUGAGAUUUUUUCCUCUUCAAUUAUUAUAAUUAUUAAUUGUAAUUUUUCUUGCUGAUUGUGAUGCUCUAACGAUGUUUUACUAUUUUGGAUUGCUUGUUGAUAAUUUUAGGUGAAAUUUGAUUCCAUGCGAUCUCCCCGUAUAUUUCAGCGAACAAGUGUUGGUUUGCUCAUAGGAUUAUGAACUUACAGUUUACUGUUAUUGCUAAUUCUUUCAAAUUUGGUGGAACUUUUUAUAUUUGUUGGACAUUUGUUCAUUGUCAUUACAUUCGCUCUCUUUGUGUUAUUUUCGGACUAAUCUUAUCCCUUUACCUCUUUAUAAUUUUACUACACCGAUAAUGAACCAAAUACUGCACACAUGGCUAGUGACAAUAUCUCUCAGUCAGAAUUUUGAUGUUGUACCAUAAUAAAAGAUGGAUUUUGUUUUUCUCAAUUUUACUCAUUCUAUAUCAAGUAUUAAUACAUGACCAAUGAAGAAAUUUCCAUUGAUUUUUGAGGCCUCCACAAAUAAAAGAAGAGCAUUACAUAUACAAAUAUAUAACAAAAUAAAUAACUCACACAAUGACAAAAUUUUUAUAAUAUCAUGACAAUACAAAAGGUUUUAUGAUUCGUAUCUUGGUAAGGCAAUUUUGGAUGGCUGGUAAAUCGAGAAACCGUAGCCAUGGCGCAUCUAAAACUUAAUCUGAGCCCAUUUUAUAACAAAAUUUCACUUUUAUAUAUACAUCUACAUAUAUGUACGUGCACACACAAUUUUUAUUUAUUUUCAUAACUAUUUGUUCAUUCAUAAUAUUAUUUAUUUUCAUAACUAUUUGUUCAUUCAUAAUAUUUUCCAUCAAGUGUUUAUACAUGUUCUCAAUAACACACUCCAAAGUGGUAUUUAAAAAGCAGUUUCGGGCUCUAUAUUUUUAUUUUUUUUUCUCAUUGUAUAAGUAUUAUAGGGAUAAGUAUUGUGAAAACUUUACUUUUUGGGAUGUCGGACGGGAACAUCCUUUACUUGCAUAUUCAUUAACGCACAUUUAGGCAAAACUUAGGCCGUUAAUAUUUACAUAAAGAAAUUAAAUUAAUUUAAAUAUUUGAUUAAUUAAUUCACACAUUUGCAUUAUAAAUAUUAUUCGUUUUUUUCUUCUUAAAUAAAUCUUUAUUUUUCUCCCUGUGACUUUAGUCAAG